UGUGCAAGUAACUGAGACAGAGAACUUUGGUUUGCUGGAUGACUUGUUUGAGUUAGAUGAUAUUCCAGAGACUGCAGAACCAGGAAAGUCAGCAUUGGAUUUAUAUUUAGAGGAGUCAAAACUAGAAAUGAGAGCUCAUCAUGAUUUGAAUGUGUUGCGAUAUUGGAAAGAGAACAGGCAUCGUUUUGGCGCACUUGCAUUCAUGGCAAUGGACAUUCUCAGCAUACCUAUUACUACUGUGGCGUCCGAGUCUUCUUUCAGUAUUGGAGCUCACAUUAUAAACAAGUACAGAACUCGCCUUAUUCCUAAAAAUGUGCAAGCUUUAUUGUGUACUAGGUCUUGGAUUCAUGGCUAUAAAGUUGAUGGUGAAGAUGAAGAUGAAGAAGAUGAGAUAGUCAUUAUCCGAGAGGCUCCAUGUCAAGCAUUAACAACUCAAGACCAUGUUGGUACCAUGGAAUUAUAGCUGGUGGUACCUGAAAGAUCAAUUUUCUUCAUUGAAGAUGGGAAGAAGGUUCAGGCUGGUUAAUGAUCACGUUUGUCUUUGUUUUUUUGUUUUUUUUUUGGCAUGGCAGGUUCAUGUAGACGAACUAGUUUCCGAGUCCUCCCAUGUGUUUUUUCUUAUUACCAAACGUUUCUGUUUUUCUUUGUGGAUUUUAACAUCAUAAAACUAUUUUUUUUUUUUAA